GACGUAGGGCGCGAGCGUUGUCCGGAUUUAUUGGGCGUAAAGAGCUCGUAGGCGGCUUGUCGCGUCGUCCGUGAGAACCUGCAGCUCAACUGCAGGCUUGCGGUCGAUACGGGCAGGCUAGAGUUCGGUAGGGGAGACUGGAAUUCCUGGUGUAGCGGUGAAAUGCGCAGAUAUCAGGAGGAACACCGGUGGCGAAGGCGGGUCUCUGGGCCGAUACUGACGCUGAGGAGCGAAAGCGUGGGGAGCGAACAGG
rnacentral:rRNA from 1 species